rnacentral:tRNA from 1 species
GCGUCGGUGGUUAUAAUGGUACAGCAUAGCUGCCUUCAAGCAGUUGAUCCGGGUUCGAUUCCCGGCCGACGCA